rnacentral:lncRNA from 1 species
GGCAACAUUGCCCCUUAUCAUACCUUGUCCUAUGAAUACAUGAAUCUUGUCCUUUGUGAUUUAUUUGUAUGCUAAUCAAAUAUAACAGUAUUAACAAGAAGAAGAUGCUCAACCCUUAUAAUGUAAAUAGACUUUUUUGUGGUUUGUAAAAGAUUUUAAAGAUGUUGUUUUGAUUGUUUUUAUGCCCCAGCGACAAAAUGUCGAGGGAGCAUAUAAAUUUACCCCCG